rnacentral:rRNA from 1 species
AACGAACGCUGGCGGCAUGCCUAACACAUGCAAGUCGAACGAGACCUUCGGGUCUAGUGGCGCACGGGUGCGUAACGCGUGGGAACAUGCCCUUAGGUUCGGAAUACCCCCCGGAAGGGGUGCUAAUACCGGAAAAUGUCCUCGGACCAAAGAGUUAUUGCCGUUGUAUGGGCCCGCGGUGGAUUAGCUAGUUGGUAGGGAAAAAGCCUACCAAGGCGACGAUUCAUAGCUGGUCUGAGAGAAUGAGCAGCCACACUGGGACUGAGAAACGGCCCGGACUCCUACGGGAGGCAGCAGUGGGGAAUAUUGGACAAUGGGCGAAAGCCUGAUCCAGCAAUGCCGCGUGAGUGAUGAAGGCCUUAGGGUUGUAAAGCUCUUUUACCCGUGAUGAUAAUGACAGUACCGGGAGAAUAAGCGCCGGCUAACUCCGUG